rnacentral:rRNA from 1 species
UACGUAGGGUGCAAGCGUUAAUCGGAAUUACUGGGCGUAAAGCGUGCGCAGGCGGUUCUAUAAGACAGAUGUGAAAUCCCCGGGCUCAACCUGGGGACUGUAUUUGUGACUGUAGAGCUGGAGUACGGCAGAGGGGGAUGGAAUUCCGCGUGUAGCAGUGAAAUGCGUAGAUAUGCGGAGGAACACCGAUGGCGAAGGCAAUCCCCUGGGCCUGUACUGACGCUCAUGCACGAAAGCAUGGGGAGCAAACAGG